GACGAACGCUGGAGGCGUGCCUAAUACAUGCAAGUCGAACUUAGUGGCGACCGGGUUAGUAACACGUGCGUAACCCGCCCAUCACACGGGGAUAAAACUUGGAAACAGGUGCUAAUACCGUCUACUGAUGGAUGGACCCGCGGUGCAUUAGCUAGUUGGUGGGGUAACGGCUCACCAAGGCCACGAUGCAUAGCCGGCCUGAUAGGGUGAUAGGCCACAGUGGGACUGAGACACGGCCCAAACUCCUACGGGAGGCAGCAGUAGGGAAUCUUCGGCAAUGGACGAAAGUCUGACCGAGGAACGCCGCGUGAGUGAAGAAGUCUUUCGGGUCGUAAGCGUCUGUUGUGAAUGAGGCGGUAACGAACCAGCAAGCCACGGCUAACUACGUGCCAGCAGCCGCGGUAAUAC
rnacentral:rRNA from 1 species